rnacentral:rRNA from 1 species
CGAAAGCCUGACGGAGCAAGACCGCGUGAGGGAGGAAGGCUCUUGGGUUGUAAACCUCUUUUCUCAGGGAAGAAGAUCUGACGGUACCUGAGGAAUAAGCAUCGGCUAACUCCGUGCCAGCAGCCGCGGUAAGACGGAGGAUGCAAGCGUUAUCCGGAAUUAUUGGGCGUAAAGCGUCCGCAGGCGGCUAAUUAAGUCUGCUGUCAAAGCCCACAGCUCAACUGUGGAUCGGCGGUGGAAACUGGUUAGCUUGAGUGCGGUAGGGGUAGAGGGAAUUCCCGGUGUAGCGGUGAAAUGCGUAGGGAUCGGGAAGAACAUCGGUGGCGAAAGCGCUCUACUGGGCCGCAACUGACACUCAGGGACGAAAGCUAGGGGAGCG